AGAAAAUUCAAGAUAGGCUUAAAAGAAUGUGUUAUAAAAAGUCUUUCAUGUAAAUCUAUUUAUCAAAAUAUCAUUACAAAAUUGUUAAGAUUUCAUUAAAAUUUGCUAUUAUAUUUAUUUUUAAGUUCUGUUGACAGUGGUAGGAAGCAGGACAAAGGGAUUGUCUUUCCCAGUGGUCCCUUUUUUUGGCGAACAAGAAGUGUUUCUGCUAAGUUACUUAAUGUUUAUUAGUGUUUCUCAGAUAUCCAGUAUCCUUUAUUACCAAAAGUAUACAAAAUGUAAGACCUCAAAAGAAAUAAACACACAUCUAAAGAUGAUUAAUUUAUUGUAGUUUCAUGGCUUGUUACUUAUAUCUUUUUCUGGUGCUAUUUUCUGAUGCCAAAAUACAUAUGUAUAAAAGUUUUUAUAGGCUCUUUGUGAUAAAAUCAAAAUGUUACAAUGUUAUUUAUAUAUAGUGCUUUCUCUCCUUUUGUUUAUAUUUUACUUCGUUUGUAUACUUAUACUACAGUACUUGAUCAAACAGGUUUGACACAUGUUAAGUCUGUAGUAUGUAAUUUUACUUACCUUUAUAUACAAAUGAUCAUAAGAAUUUAUUUAUCUAUAAGUGCAUGUUCUUCAGCAUGUAUUCUUUUUAAGUGUAAUUUUGCAAAUGUUC
rnacentral:lncRNA from 1 species